UUGUGGAGCCAGAACUCCAACAGCUGCAGGAAAGGCCAGUGAGGUAGAGACUGCAGGUUGGUUGGGGUUCACUGAAUCAGUGUCAGUGGCUGCAGGUUGGGUGGAGUUCUCUGAAUCAGUGUCAGUGGAUGCAGUUUUGUGUUUAUAAGGCACUUUGAUUCACUUAUUUGUAGCUAGGACUCCUUGUGGAGCCAGAACUCCGAGAGCUGCAGGAAAGGUCAGUGAGGUAGAGACUGCAGGUUGAUUGGAGUUCACUGAAUCAGUGUCAGGGGCUGCAGGUUGGUUGGAGUUCACUAAAUCAGUGUCAGGGGCUGCAGGUUGGUUGGAGUUCACUAAAUCAGUGUCAGGGGCUGCAGGUUGAUUGGAGUUCACUGAAUCAGUGUCAGUGGCUGCAGGUUGGUUGGGGUUCACUGAAUCAGUGUCAGUGGCUGCAGGUUGGGUGGAGUUCCCUGAAUCAGUGUCAGUGGCUGCAGGUUGGGUGGAGUUCCCUGAAUCAGUGCCAGUGGCUGCAGGUCGGUUGGAGUUCACUAAA